rnacentral:rRNA from 1 species
UAGAGAAGAGGAACCACCCAGUUAACCAUUCCGAACCUGGAAGUCAAGCUCUUCAUCGCUGAUAAUACUGCUCUUUUCAAGAGUGGGAAUGUAGGUC